AAUGGAAUUGCUAGAUGAUAUGGUAGACAUACGUUUAACUUCUUGAGGAACUGCCAAACUGUUUCCCAAAGUGACUAUACUGUUUUACACUUUUCCUAGCAUAU
rnacentral:pre_miRNA from 1 species